rnacentral:miRNA from 1 species
GUGCUGAUUUUUCCACUUCCUUUUUGUCUACUUACAAUUCCAUUUAUUUUUAUUUAUUUAUUAUAACAUACAAGGGAGUGUAAGUAGACAAAAGAGGAGUGGGAAAAUCAGCCCC